rnacentral:rRNA from 1 species
UCGAACGAGCGAGAGAGAGCUUGCUUUCUCGAGCGAGUGGCGAACGGCCGUGUAACGCGUGAGGAAUCUGCCUCAAAGAGGGGGACAACAGUUGGAAACGACUGCUAAUACCGCAUAAGCCCACGGUGCCGCAUGGCACAGAGGGAAAAGGAGUAAUCCGCUUUGAGAUGGCCUCGCGUCCGAUUAGCUAGUUGGUGAGGUAACGGCCCACCAAGGCGACGAUCGGUAGCCGGACUGAGAGGUUGAACGGCCACAUUGGGACUGAGACACGGCCCAGACUCCUACGGGAGGCAGCAGUGGGGAAUAUUGCACAAUGGGGGAAACCCUGAUGCAGCGACGCCGCGUGGAGGAAGAAGGUCUUCGGAUUGUAAACUCCUGUUGUUGGGGAAGAUAAUGACGGUACCCAACAAGGAAGUGACGGCUAACUACGUGCCAGCAGCCGCGGUAAAACGUAGGUCACAAGCGUUGUCCGGAAUUACUGGGUGUAAAGGGAGCGCAGGCGGAAAGACAAGUUGGAAGUGAAAUCUAUGGGCUCAACCCAUAAACUGCUUUCAAAACUGUUUUUCUUGAGUAGUGCAGAGGUAGGCGGAAUUCCCGGUGUAGCGGUGGAAUGCGUAGAUAUCGGGAGGAACACCAGUGGCGAAGGCGGCCUACUGGGCACCAACUGACGCUGAGGCUCGAAAGUGUGGGUAGCAAACAGGAUUAGAUACCCUGGUAGUCCACACCGUAAACGAUGAUUACUAGGUGUUGGAGGAUUGACCCCUUCAGUGCCGCAGUUAACACAAUAAGUAAUCCACCUGGG